rnacentral:lncRNA from 1 species
ACAGUUACCUUUGAGCCAAGGCACUGCAACCCCCCCCCCCCCCCCCCCCCCCGUCAGAACUUACACACCUCUCACAGUGUUUGCGGGAUCGGAAAGGGAGUGGGGGGCGAUGUAGACCGCCUCCUCCGUCCUUAUCUUUCCCUUGUUUCGUAAGCCCCGGACUCAGCGUCCUGCUUUCCCCCAAAGCUAAGGCAAUCUCCGCAGGCCCUGCAAUCAGGCGGAGAAGCCGGGGGCGAUGAGGGGCGGGACGGCUCCUGGCGCCCUCUUUUCCAGCCCCGCUCCCGCGCUGCCUGCCCGAAGCCCGCGCUGCAGCUAGAGAGAGACUCGGGGCCCAGCCACCCCGCCUCUGCCGGGGCCCCAGGAGGAACCUAAGAAAGGAGAGAUGGAGGGAGGACAUGGCAUCUCUUCAGGAAGGGGCAGGACCUCCAGGACCGAAGCAACGCGUACCAAAGGCAGCUGCAUCACCUUCCUGCCUGCUAGAGCCCUAAACCUCACCCCACCCACCGGCCGCAGACGCCCAGGGAAGGAGAACAUUUUUAGACAGCUUGUAAAGCCUCAGCUAAAAUGGUCAUCUGAGCUGGGACUUAGUUUCCCGAAAAGAUAACUCUAUUGAUGAUCAAAGGAAGAGACUGGUUCCAUUAGCCAAGUUGCCUAUACCGUGGCCUUCAAAAUAAAGGAAGAAAUGUAUUUCAGAAGUAUCUGAGUAACACACUUUACUCAUAAUAUUGCUUGUUGUCUGUUGCAACUUACCUUCCAUCUGAGUACUUUAUUUUAAGCACUACCAAA